CGGUCAGCAAUUACGAAACCUACGAAAAUAUUUGUUUUGAAAUUGUGUUGUGAGAACGAUAAGACAUUAAAAAACCUCCGCAAAAGUGUCCGAGUUCAUUCUUGAAGCUGACCAUCCAGGGAAACUAUGAAUUCACCACUCUGACCCCCCAACUAUGCGAGCAUUACGGCGCGUGGUCGCGUUGGCGAAACGACCGCAACUGGCAGCUGUUGAAGAAUAUCAAAAAAUGAACAAAAACCGAUGGUGAUCGCGUAUUUUGAAAAAAUUAUGAUUCCUGAAGAAUCUAUUACGAGCAGAUGCCAUUCGUCUAAUCGCUGCGUGAGUUUCUGGUGGUGUGACAACUCCGAGGAGGAUGACACUUAUUCCAAUCAUUUUUAAAUCCAUUUUUAUGGAAAAUUUUGACGGAAAAGUUUCGAAUUCUAGGACAAAUCCAAAAUAACUCUUGACUGUGCGCAAGUUAAUCUUGGAAUGUUCAUGAAUCUUGGCAUGACUGGGUCUGGAUCGGGAUAUUUAUACAUUAAAGCUUUGACUGGAUUGUAUUAUGGGAUGAAAUUAAUUAUUGCAGUGUUCGAUCGAUGGUGAUUAAUAAGGAAGGAAGGAAACUAUUUCCCACACGCUUACGCUAAUUACGAUUUAGUGGCAAUUAAUAAAUGUGUGAUUAGUACGGAUACAAAAAUAUUAUUUCCAUGUAUGUUGAAUAGUGAUGAUUCAACUGCGUCGUCAAAUAGCGUGGUGUGGUGGUGACAAUAGUGAUGAUUGAUCAGAGGCCAAUGUCAAUGUCAGGUGGCAAAGUACCUCAUCGCAUCACAUUUACUGUGUAUUAUUCGCAUCCAUUUCCAUGUAGAAAUGAUCAAGAAACGUUGCAUGUUUUACGUUUAUUGGUUGUCAUUUCGAUAAUUUCAAGGAUUCUUUGUAAAUCGGGUGCGUAAACGCAAACUUAAAAACACAUUAUUUCAAAUAGAUCAAUGCCAUGUUCCAAUUUCUGAAUGGUCCGCUUUAUGACCAAUGCAAUGGUGGUAAAUAUGCACUCGUAAUGGUGACUCAUGAUAAAUUUAUAAUUUACAAUUCUAGUUUAAAUAAUUUAAUUUUAAUUUUAAUUUGUAAUAUGAAAACUAAGAAACAAGAAUUUGUGAGUCAAAGGUUUUAA